AUUUGGACCCAAGGAACAGAGCAGAGUCCAGCUCAUCUCCUCCACGUUGAUUCUCCCACGUCCAGCAUCCAUGGAUAAAGAUCAAUCCCCUGCUCCACAUCACAGUAGAAUCCAGCCUUCAUCCCGUUGUGAUCCAUCUUCAUCCAAGUUCAUCCCCCAAACUUCCGGAUCAGCUCCAUCUACAUCCAUUCACAUCUCAGCAUCCUAGCUCCAUCCUUUUCCACGCGUCUCCCUUCCCAGCUUCCGAGCUUCACGGCAUCCAAACAAAGCCUUCCUCCCAGCCGAGAUCCUCUCAGCUUCACCGAUGCUCCUCUUUACCCGGAUUCAUUCUAAAUAUCUCCCAAACAUCCGCAGCCAAUCCCGUUCGAAUCAAGCUAUCCCACUCGGAACAGAGUGUCAGCUUAUCCACGGGAUGAACCAGCUAUCUCCCAGCCGUCCCAGAUCCCGUUCAGAAUCCAUU
rnacentral:lncRNA from 1 species